rnacentral:rRNA from 1 species
CGCUUCUUUUUCCACCGGAGCUUGCUCCACCGGAAAAAGAGGAGUGGCGAACGGGUGAGUAACACGUGGGUAACCUGCCCAUCAGAAGGGGAUAACACUUGGAAACAGGUGCUAAUACCGUAUAACAAUCAAAACCGCAUGGUUUUGAUUUGAAAGGCGCUUUCGGGUGUCGCUGAUGGAUGGACCCGCGGUGCAUUAGCUAGUUGGUGAGGUAACGGCUCACCAAGGCCACGAUGCAUAGCCGACCUGAGAGGGUGAUCGGCCACAUUGGGACUGAGACACGGCCCAAACUCCUACGGGAGGCAGCAGUAGGGAAUCUUCGGCAAUGGACGAAAGUCUGACCGAGCAACGCCGCGUGAGUGAAGAAGGUUUUCGGAUCGUAAAACUCUGUUGUUAGAGAAGAACAAGGAUGAGAGUAACUGUUCAUCCCUUGACGGUAUCUAACCAGAAAGCCACGGCUAACUACGUGCC